rnacentral:rRNA from 1 species
GAUGAACGCUGGCGGCGUGCUUAACACAUGCAAGUCGAACGGAAAGGCCCAAGCUUGCUUGGGUACUCGAGUGGCGAACGGGUGAGUAACACGUGGGUGAUCUGCCCUGCACUUCGGGAUAAGCCUGGGAAACUGGGUCUAAUACCGGAUAGGACCACAUUUUGGAUGGUGUGGUGGAAAGUUUUUCGGUGUGGGAUGAGCUCGCGGCCUAUCAGCUUGUUGGUGGGGUAAUGGCCUACCAAGGCGUCGACGGGUAGCCGGCCUGAGAGGGUGUACGGCCGCAUUGGGACUGAGAUACGGCCCAGACUCCUACGGGAGGCAGCAGUGGGGAAUAUUGCACAAUGGGCGCAAGCCUGAUGCAGCGACGCCGCGGGGGGGAUGACGGCCUUCGGGUUGUAAACUCCUUUCGCUAGGGACGAAGCGUUAUGUGACGGUACCUGGAGAAGAAGCACCGGCUAACUACGUG